rnacentral:misc_RNA from 1 species
UCCGAGUUGACCCCGGCAGUCUCCUAUGAGUCCCCACCAUCACGUGCUGGCAACAUAGAACGAGGGUUGCGCUCGUUGCGGGACUUAACCCAACAUCUCACGACACGAGCUGACGACAACCAUGCACCACCUGUGUACCGACCUUGCGGGGCCACCAUCUCUGGCAGUUUCCGGCACAUGUCAAGCCUUGGUAAGGUUCUUCGCGUUGCAUCGAAUUAAUCCGCAUGCUCCGCCGCUUGUGCGGGCCCCCGUCAAUUCCUUUGAGUUUUAGCCUUGCGGCCGUACUCCCCAGGCGGGGCGCUUAAUGCGUUAGCUGCGGCACGGACCCCGUGGAAUGGGACCCACACCUAGCGCCCAACGUUUACGGCGUGGACUAC